rnacentral:lncRNA from 1 species
CUGGAGUUGGGAUGCUGACAAACCUCCAGAAGAUGACCCGUCAGAGGUCUCCAAAGAAUCUCAAUCCUGUGCAUGUUAACUAGUCCUGUUUCCAGUAAUUUAGCAACAGCAAAGAGAGAUGGCUCCUUAUUGUUUCCAUAGGCCAUAUCCAUGGCUUCCAGAGACAAGGAACAAAGGGCAUUUAUUAAGUGAUGCAAAGAUACAUCAUCAAGGUACUGCGAGCUUUCAAAAAGUCUUGAUAGUAUGUUGGAUAUAACUGGUAGAUCAGUCAUAACUGCUGUAGUCAGAACUGUGCUGGGCCCUUCUACAGCUCUUCCAGGUUUUAAGGCACCCCCAACACCGGGUUUCAGUCCCAGAAUCCACACAAGAUGCUGAAGAGUAGCCAAG